rnacentral:rRNA from 1 species
GACAGAGGGUGCAACCGUUGUUCGGAAUUACUGGGCGUAAAGCGCGUGUAGGCGGUUCGUAAAGUCGGAUGUGAAAGCCCUGGGCUUAACCCAGGAAGUGCAUUCGAAACUCACGAACUUGAGUCCCGGAGAGGAAGGCGGAAUUCUCGGUGUAGAGGUGAAAUUCGUAGAUAUCGAGAGGAACAUCUGUGGCGAAGGCGGCCUUCUGGACGGUGACUGACGCUGAGACGCGAAAGCGUGGGGAGCAAACAGG